rnacentral:lncRNA from 1 species
AGUGGCUACUUUAAUCGAUCAGAACUCUCAAGAGGCCCAGAAGUGGAAGAUGGUCCAGAUGACAAUUGAAAACUCACUUUGGAGGUAACAGCCAGUGUCAGUUGCCAAACACAUGAGUGAAGAAGCCUUCAUAUUAUUCCAACUCCAGCCUUAGAGCCUUCUAGCUGAGGCCCCUUCAUCACAGUAGAGGUAAGCCCUCCCUAUCCUUUCCUGUUUGAAUUUUUGAUCCAUAAAAACUGUGAGAAAUAAAUAUUUAUUUUUGUUUUAAGUCA